UAGGGAAUCUUCCGCAAUGGACGCAAGUCUGACGGAGCAACGCCGCGUGAGUGAAGAAGGAUUUCGGUUCGUAAAACUCUGUUGUUAGAGAAGAACAGCGCAUAGAGUAACUGUUAUGCGUGUGACGGUAUCCAACCAGAAAGCCACGGCUAACUACGUGCCAGCAGCCGCGGUAAUACGUAGGUGGCAAGCGUUGUCCGGAUUUAUUGGGCGUAAAGCGAGCGCAGGCGGUCAAUUAAGUCUGAUGUGAAAGCCCCCGGCUCAACCGGGGAGAGUCAUUGGAAACUGUUUAACUUGAGUGCAGAAGGGGAGAGUGGAAUUCCAUGUGUAGCGGUGAAAUGCGUAGAGAUAUGGAGGAACACCGGUGGCGAAAGCGGCUCUCUGGUCUGUAACUGACGCUGAGGCUCGAAAGCGUGGGGAGCGAACAGG
rnacentral:rRNA from 1 species